GCAAACUUGGUCAUUUAGAGGAAGUAAAAGUCGUAACAAGGUUUCCGUAGGUGAACCUGCGGAAGGAUCAUUAUUGAAUCAAUUAAUUGAGUUGUUGCUGGCUUCCAGGAGCAUAUUAUAUGUGCACACUUGAUUUAAUUUUCAAACCCUAUGUGCAUCUUUUGUAGAUCUAAAGUCACUCGGGAUACCUCGGAUAGAGAAUUGCUGAGCAAAUAAUUAGCCAGCUUUCUUAUGGUUUAGAUCUAUGCUUUAUUAUAACCUCAGAAUGUUAUAGAGUAUAUUGUGGACAAAUGGCUUUUCUUUUCUAUUUGAAAGAAAACAGGGGGGCCUUUGAACAGAAAUACAACUUUCAACAAUGGAUCUCUUGGUUCUCGCAUCGAUGAAGAACGCAGC
rnacentral:misc_RNA from 1 species